AUUGAACGCUGGCGGCAUGCUUUACACAUGCAAGUCGAACGGUAACAGGCCGCAAGGUGCUGACGAGUGGCGAACGGGUGAGUAUUGCAUCGGAACGUGCCCAGUCGCGGGGGAUAAUUACCCGAAAGAGUAGCUAAUACCGCAUACGAUCUAUGGAUUUAAGCGGGGGACCUUAAGGCUUCGCGCGAUUGAAGCGGCCGAGGUCAGAUUAGGUAGUUGGUGGGGUAAAGGCUCACCAAGCCAACGAUCUGUAGCUGGUCUGAGAGGACGACCAGGCACACUGGGACUGGGACACGGCCCAGACUCCUACGGGAGGCAGAAGUGGGGAAUUUUGGACAAUGGGGGCAGGCCUGAUCAAGCAAUGCCGCGUGGAGGAAGAAGGCCUUCGGGUUGUAAAAUGCUUUUGUAGGGAAAGAAACGGGUCGGGUUAAUAACCGGGGCUAAUGACGGUACCGUAAGAAUAAGCACCGGCUAACUACGUG
rnacentral:rRNA from 1 species